CAGUAGCCACGGUAAGACGAACCGUGCGAACGUUAUUCGGAAUCACUGGGCUUAAAGCGAGUGUAGGCGGGCCGCCACGUCGGUCGCUGAAAUCCCCCGGCUCAACCGGGGAACUGGCGGCGAUAUGAGCGGCCUGGAGGGGGGUAGGGGGGCCUGGAACUUCCGGUGGAGCGGUGAAAUGCGUUGAGAUCGGAAGGAACGCCCGUGGCGAAAGCGAGGCCCUGGACCCUCACUAACGCUCAUGCACGAAAGCGUGGGGAGCAAACAGGAUUAGAUACCCCUGUAGUCCCUGUCUCUUAUU
rnacentral:rRNA from 1 species